UAAAGUGGAUUAGCGGCGGACGGGUGAGUAACACGUGAGUAACCUGCCUUAGACAUUGGGAUAGCCUCGGGAAACCGGGAUUAAUACCAAAUAAAAUCAUAAUGACACAUGUCAUAACGAUCAAAACUCCGGUGGUCUAAGAUGGACUCGCGUCCCAUUAGUUAGUUGGUAGAGUAAAAGCCUACCAAGGCGACGAUGGGUAGCCGGCCUGAGAGGGUGAACGGCCACAUUGGAACUGAUAAACGGUCCAA
rnacentral:rRNA from 1 species